rnacentral:rRNA from 1 species
GGUGUCUUCGGACGCCGGCAUACGGCUCAGUAACACGUAGGUAACCUACCCUCAGGACUGAGAUAACCCCGGGAAACUGGGGCUAAUAUUAGAUAGAUAAAAGAUACUGGAAUGUUCUUUUAUCCAAAGCUUUUGCGCCUGAGGAUGGGCCUGCGUCCGAUUAGGUUGUUGGUGGGGUAAUGGCCCACCAAGCCUGCGAUCGGUACGGGCAGUGGGAGCUGAAGCCCGGAGUUGGGGACUGAGACAAGGCCCCAGGCCCUACGGGGCGCAGCAGGCGCGAAACCUCUGCAAUGCGGGAAACCGUGACAGGGGGAUCCCAAGUGCUCAUGCAUUGCAUGGGCUGUUCUUUGGUCUAAGUAACCAGAGGAGUAAGGGCUGGGCAAGACCGGUGCCAGCCGCCGCGGUAAUACCGGCAGCUCAAGUGGUAGCCGCGAUUAUUGGGCCUAAAACGUUCGUAGCCGGAUAAGUAAGUCUUUGGUUAAAUCCUGCGACUCAACCGUGGGAAUUCUAGAGAUACUGCUUGUCUUGAGACCGGGAGAGGUUGGAGGUACUCCUAGGGUAGGGGUGAAAUCCUGUAAUCCUAGGGGGACCACCUGUGGCGAA